rnacentral:rRNA from 1 species
GAUGAACGCUGGCGGCGUGCCUAAUACAUGCAAGUCGAGCGAACGGACGAGAAGCUUGCUUCUCUGAUGUUAGCGGCGGACGGGUGAGUAACACGUGGAUAACCUACCUAUAAGACUGGGAUAACUUCGGGAAACCGGAGCUAAUACCGGAUAAUAUUUUGAACCGCAUGGUUCAAAAGUGAAAGACGGUCUUGCUGUCACUUAUAGAUGGAUCCGCGCUGCAUUAGCUAGUUGGUAAGGUAACGGCUUACCAAGGCAACGAUGCAUAGCCGACCUGAGAGGGUGAUCGGCCACACUGGAACUGAGACACGGUCCAGACUCCUACGGGAGGCAGCAGUAGGGAAUCUUCCGCAAUGGGCGAAAGCCUGACGGAGCAACGCCGCGUGAGUGAUGAAGGUCUUCGGAUCGUAAAACUCUGUUAUUAGGGAAGAACAUAUGUGUAAGUAACUGUGCACAUCUUGACGGUACCUAAUCAGAAAGCCACGGCUAACUACGUGCCAGCAGCCGGGGUAAUACGUAGGUGGCAAGCGUUAUCCGGAAUUAUUGGGCGUAAAGCGCGCGUAGGCGGUUUUUUAAGUCUGAUGUGAAAGCCCACGGCUCANCCGUGGAGGGUCAUUGGAAACUGGAAAACUUGAGUGCAGAAGAGGAAAAGUGGAAUUCCAUGUGUAGCGGUGAAAUGCGCAGAGAUAUGGAGGAACACCAGUGGCGAAGGCGACUUUCUGGUCUGUAACUGACGCUGAUGUGCGAAAGCGUGGGGAUCAAACAGGAUUAGAUACCCUGGUAGUCCACGCCGUAAACGAUGAGUGCUAAGUGUUAGGGGGUUUCCGCCCCUUAGUGCUGCAGCUAACGCAUUAAGCACUCCGCCUGGGGAGUACGACCGCAAGGUUGAAACUCAAAGGAAUUGACGGGGACCCGCACAAGCGGUGGAGCAUGUGGUUUAAUUCGAAGCAACGCGAAGAACCUUACCAAAUCUUGACAUCCUUUGACAACUCUAGAGAUAGAGCCUUCCCCUUCGGGGGACAAAGUGACAGGUGGUGCAUGGUUGUCGUCAGCUCGUGUCGUGAGAUGUUGGGUUAAGUCCCGCAACGAGCGCAACCCUUAAGCUUAGUUGCCAUCAUUAAGUUGGGCACUCUAAGUUGACUGCCGGUGACAAACCGGAGGAAGGUGGGGAUGACGUCAAAUCAUCAUGCCCCUUAUGAUUUGGGCUACACACGUGCUACAAUGGACAAUACAAAGGGCAGCGAAACCGCGAGGUCAAGCAAAUCCCAUAAAGUUGUUCUCAGUUCGGAUUGUAGUCUGCAACUCGACUACAUGAAGCUGGAAUCGCUAGUAAUCGUAGAUCAGCAUGCUACGGUGAAUACGUUCCCGGGUCU